UACGAAGGGGGCUAGCGUUGCUCGGAAUGACUGGGCGUAAAGGGCGCGUAGGCGGAUGGCACAGUCAGAUGUGAAAUUCCCGGGCUUAACCUGGGGGCUGCAUUUGAUACGUGUUGUCUUGAGUUCGGAAGAGGGUCGUGGAAUUCCCAGUGUAGAGGUGAAAUUCGUAGAUAUUGGGAAGAACACCGGUGGCGAAGGCGGCGACCUGGUCUGACACUGACGCUGAGGCGCGAAAGCGUGGGGAGCAAACAGG
rnacentral:rRNA from 1 species